rnacentral:rRNA from 1 species
UACGUAGGGUGCGAGCGUUAAUCGGAAUUACUGGGCGUAAAGCGUGCGCAGGCGGUUAUGCAAGACAGAGGUGAAAUCCCCGGGCUCAACCUGGGAACUGCCUUUGUGACUACAUAGCUAGAGUACGGCAGAGGGGGAUGGAAUUCCACGUGUAGCAGUGAAAUGCGUAGAGAUGUGGAGGAACACCGAUGGCGAAGGCAGCCCCCUGGGUCAAGAUUGACGCUCAUGCACGAAAGCGUGGGGAGCAAACAGG